GUGUUCGCUUUGACAGCACAUAUACUAAAAUUGGAACGGUACAGAGAAGAUUAACGUGGUCCCUGCGCAAAGAUGACACGCAAAUUCGUGAAGCGUUCCAUCAAUAA
ensembl:snRNA U6 U6 spliceosomal RNA